rnacentral:rRNA from 1 species
CCCCCACCUCCCCCAAUGGUACAACCUCUUGAUCCUAAAUACAAAGAGAUGAUCUAUUUCAAUUGCAGUUGGCCUGGACACUAUGUGGGGAACUGUGUGGAGCCAAAAAAGUGGUUUAUUUGCUCUGGGAACCAUAAUGUUAACAACUGUGCUGCUUGGGUAAAACCACAGCCUGUUGCCACUUAUUUUGGUAGUGCUGCUUCUGGACUAGGGUUUUAUCACAUUGAAGUUCCUCUGGCAGCCGAGUCUAGUUGGCUAAAUUACAAAAACUUGGUUCUUAAGGUGGUCAAAGUAGAGGUUUCUACCUCUGAGCUACUAACACAACUGAAUGGAAUCUUCUGUAAGAACAAAGAGUGGCCAUGGCAAAUCAAAGAGCUGGAAAACAAGAAAUUCCUCUUAAGGUUCCCACCUUGGAAGUAUGUGGAUGACCUUAUUGAAUUCCCUCCUUUUGAGUUGCCUAUUGCUGGAGUAUCUGUUAAGAUCUGUGAAUGGGAAGGUAUGCUAGAUGAGUUUGGGGCACUUACUGAAGCCUGGGUGCAGAUUGAUGGUAUCCCACCUAAGUGGUGUACAUGGAAAGUAUUUGCCUAGAUUACUGCUUGCUUUGUUAUCCUUGUGGAUGUGGACUGGAAUGGUAUUUUCAAGAGCUUUUAUGAAGAAAAUCGAGUUAAAGUUGCCUGCAGAGAUCCAAGGAAAAUCCCUUUUGAGAGAUUGGCGGAGAUGAAAAAGAAACUUUACCUCCUGUUUUUUAUAGUAGAAGGAUUUGAACAGAUUGAUGAGGACAAUGAUGGAGGUGAUGAUGAUCCAGAUCUGGACAAUCUUGCAGGAAAUGAUGAGAAUAACAGUAAGGAUGCUGAGGAUAAAGAGGACAUGGAAGAAGAUGAUGAUGAGGCCAUGGAUGAACUGGACAAGGCCAAUUUUCCUACCAAGACUGAUAACCCAACUAGCUCGAACAAAUCCAUAUCUCAUGUGACUUCUUCUGCAAUGGAAUUCCAUCCAACUAACGCAAUUAAUGCAAUGCAAGCAAUGAUCUCUGGUGACUCUAAAACCUUGACACCAGUUAAAGUUAAUGGAGAUGAAAUUGAACCAAGCUCGAGGUGA